rnacentral:rRNA from 1 species
AUUGAACGCUGGCGGCAGGCUUAACACACGCAAGUCGAGCGGGGUGAUGGUGCUUGCACUAUCACCUAGCGGCGGACGGGUGAGUAAUGCUUAGGAAUCUGCCUAUUAGUGGGGGACAACAUUUCGAAAGGAAUGCUAAUACCGCAUACGUCCUACGGGAGAAAGCAGGGGAUCUUCGGACCUUGCGCUAAUAGAUGAGCCUAAGUCGGAUUAGCUAGUUGGUGGGGUAAAGGCCCACCAAGGCGACGAUCUGUAGCGGGUCUGAGAGGAUGAUCCGCCACACUGGGACUGAGACACGGCCCAGACUCCUACGGGAGGCAGCAGUGGGGAAUAUUGGACAAUGGGCGCAAGCCUGAUCCAGCCAUGCCGCGUGUGUGAAGAAGGCCUUAUGGUUGUAAAGCACUUUAAGCGAGGAGGAGGCUACUUUAGAUAAUACCUAGAGAUAGUGGACGUUACUCGCAGAAUAAGCACCGGCUAACUCUGUGCCAGCAGCCGCCGUAAUAC